UACGUAGGGUGCAAGCGUUGUCCGGAAUUAUUGGGCGUAAAGAGCUCGUAGGCGGUCUGUCGCGUCGGCUGUGAAAACCCGGAGCUCAACUCCGGGCCUUCAGUCGAUACGGGCAGACUGGAGGUAUGCAGGGGAGAACAGAAUUCCUGGUGUAGCGGUGAAAUGCGCAGAUAUCAGGAGGAACACCGGUGGCGAAGGCGGUUCUCUGGGCAUGUCCUGACGCUGAGACGCGAAAGCGUGGGGAGCAAACAGG
rnacentral:rRNA from 1 species